UUCCUGGUAGUCUAUCGUUUAGUGCAUGUUCCUGUUAUGCGCAAGAACUGGGUUCGACUCCCAGUCAGGGAG